AGCUCCAAUAGCGUAUAUUAAAGUUGCUGCAGUUAAAAAGCUCGUAGUUGCAUUUCCGAGGCAAGGGAUUAGUCCGACCUUUGGUGGGUAUUUAAUCCUCUUGCCUCAUCCUUGAGUGGUGCUUCUUGGUAUUAAGUUAUCGAGGAGAUAGCCGCUCAUCGUUUACUGUGAGAAAAUUAGAGUGUUCAAAGCAGGCUUAUGCCGUUGAAUAUAUUAGCAUGGAAUAAUAAGAUAGGACCUCGGUACUAUUUUGUUGGUUUGAGAACCAAGGUAAUGAUAAAUAGGGACAGUUGGGAGUAUUCGUAUUCAGUUGUCAGAGGUGAAAUUCUUAGAUUUACGGAAGACGAACUACUGCGAAAGCAUUUACCAAGGAUGUUUUCA
rnacentral:rRNA from 1 species